CAGCAGCCGCGGGAAUACGUAGGUGGCAAGCGUUGUCCAGAAUUAUUGGGCGUAAAGGGCUCGCAGGCGGUUUCUUAAGUCUGAUGUGAAAGCCCCCGGCUCAACCGGGGAGGGUCAUUGGAAACUGGGAAACUUGAGUGCAGAAGAGGAGAGUGGAAUUCCACGUGUAGCGGUGAAAUGCGUAGAGAUGUGGAGGAACACCAGUGGCGAAGGCGACUCUCUGGUCUGUAACUGACGCUGAGGAGCGAAAGCGUGGGGAGCGAACAGGAUUAGAUACCCGCGUAGUCCCUGUCUCUUAUAC
rnacentral:rRNA from 1 species